rnacentral:tRNA from 5 species
GCCGGCGUAGCUCAGUGGCAGAGCAACGGAUUUGUAAUCCGUUGGUCGUCAGUUCGACUCUGACCGCCGGCUCCA